rnacentral:rRNA from 1 species
UACAUGGGGUGCAAACGUUGCUCGGAAUCAUUGGGCGUAAAGCGCGCGUAGGCGGUUAUCUAAGUCGGAUGUGAAAGCCCUCGGCUUAACUGAGGAAGUGCAUCCGAAACUGAAUAGCUAGAGUACGAAAGAGGGUCGCGGAAUUCCCGGUGUAGAGGUGAAAAUUCGUAGAUAUCGGGAGGAACACCGGUGGCGAAGGCGGCGACCUGGGUCGAGACUGACGCUGAGGCGCGAAAGCGUGGGGAGCAAACAGG